UACGAAGGGGCUAGCGUUGCUCGGAAUCACUGGGCGUAAAGCGCACGUAGGCGGACUCUUAAGUCGGUGGUGAAAUCCUGGAGCUCAACUCCAGAACUGCCUCCGAUACUGGGAGCCUUCGAGUCCGGGAGAGGUGAGUGGAACUGCGAGUGUAGAGGUGAAAUUCGUAGAUAUUCGCAAGAACACCAGUGGCGAAGGCGGCUCACUGGCCCGGUACUGACGCUGAGGUGCGAAAGCGUGGGAGCAAACAGGG
rnacentral:rRNA from 1 species